UAAGGAGGGUGCAAGCGUUAUCCGGAAUCACUGGGUUUAAAGGGUGCGUAGGCGGCUGCAUAAGUCAGGGGUGAAAGUUUGUCGCUUAACGAUAGAAUUGCCUUUGAUACUGUGCGGCUUGAAAUUAGGUGAGGUUGGCGGAAUGUGACAUGUAGCGGUGAAAUGCGUAGAUAUGUCAUAGAACACCGAUUGCGAAGGCAGCUGGCUAACCUAAAUUUGACGCUGAGGCACGAAAGCGUGGGUAGCAAACAUG
rnacentral:rRNA from 1 species